GCCAGCAUGGUGUAGUGGUUUGAGCAUUGGACUAUGAUUCUGGAGUACAGGGUUUGAAUCCCUGCUCAGCCA